UUGCACCUUAUCUUAGCGGCGGACGGGUGAGUAAUGCUUAGGAAUCUGCCAUUUAGUGGGGGACAACAUUCCGAAAGGAAUGCUAAUACCGCAUACGUCCUACGGGAGAAAGCAGGGGAUCUUCGGACCUUGCGCUAAAUGAUGAGCCUAAGUCGGAUUAGCUAGUUGGUGGGGUAAAGGCCUACCAAGGCGACGAUCUGUAGCGGGUCUGAGAGGAUGAUCCGCCACACUGGGACUGAGACACGGCCCAGACUCCUACGGGAGGCAGCAGUGGGGAAUAUUGGACAAUGGGGGGAACCCUGAUCCAGCCAUGCCGCGUGUGUGAAGAAGGCCUUUUGGUUGUAAAGCACUUUAAGCGAGGAGGAGGCUACUUAGAUUAAUACUCUGAGAUAGUGGACGUUACUCGCAGAAUAAGCACCGGCUAACUCUGUGCCAGCAGCCGCGGUAAUACAGAGGGUGCGAGCGUUAAUCGGAUUUACUGGGCGUAAAGCGUGCGUAGGCGGCUGAUUAAGUCGGAUGUGAAAUCCCUGAGCUUAACUUAGGAAUUGCAUUCGAUACUGGUCAGCUAGAGUAUGGGAGAGGAUGGUAGAAUUCCAGGUGUAGCGGUGAAAUGCGUAGAGAUCUGGAGGAAUACCGAUGGCGAAGGCAGCCAUCUGGCCUAAUACUGACGCUGAGGUACGAAAGCAUGGGGAGCAAACAGGAUUAGAUACCCUGGUAGUCCAUGCCGUAA
rnacentral:rRNA from 1 species